UACAGAGGUCUCAAGCGUUGUUCGGAAUCACUGGGCGUAAAGCGUGCGUAGGCUGUUUCGUAAGUCGUGUGUGAAAGGCACGGGCUCAACCCGCGGACGGCACAUGAUACUGCGAGACUAGAGUAAUGGAGGGGGAACCGGAAUUCUCGGUGUAGCAGUGAAAUGCGUAGAUAUCGAGAGGAACACUCGUGGCGAAGGCGGGUUCCUGGACAUUAACUGACGCUGAGGCACGAAGGCCAGGGGAGCGAAAGGG
rnacentral:rRNA from 1 species